ACUUGUGAUUAUACCAGCACUAAUGCACCAGAUGCCAUCAGAACUCGACAGAUAAGCGUGCUUGGGUGAGAGUAGUACUGCGAUGGGUGACCUUUGUUAGGUAUCAGUGGCUAAAAUAC
rnacentral:rRNA from 2 species